AUCCAAUGUAUUUGGAUAUACAUUUGAUAGCCAUCCUAUUUAUUCGAUAUAUUUGUCUUUGAUUUAUCCAGUCCUUUGCAAACGAUGUCCUCCAGAGGAAGACCUAGCUCGCGUGAGUCUGAGAGGCCCCGAAGCAAAAACGGAGUAGAAAGAUCAGGCAUGAUUCGUUCGAGUGAUGUUACCAACACUUGAACCAAAAGUUUUAAUGGAAAAUACACAUAUUCUCCAGCCGAUGUUGCCCAUGUAAAACAGGCUAGUCCUACGGGUUCUG
rnacentral:lncRNA from 1 species